rnacentral:rRNA from 1 species
GAUCCUGGCUUAGGAUGAACGCUGGCGGCGUGCCUAACACAUGCAAGUCGAACGAGCGAGAGAUGAAACCUAGUGAUUCUCGAGCGAGUGGCGGACGGGUGAGUAACGCGUGGGUAACCUGCCUUACAGAGGGGGAUAACAGUCUGAAAAGACUGCUAAUACCGCAUAAGCACACAGUACCGCAUGGUACAGGGUGAAAAGAUUUAUCACUGUAAGAUGGACCCGCGUCUGAUUAGCCAGUUGGCAGGGUAACGGCCUACCAAAGCGACGAUCAGUAGCCGACCUGAGAGGGUGAUCGGCCACAUUGGGACUGAGACACGGCCCAAACUCCUACGGGAGGCAGCAGUGGGGGAUAUUGCACAAUGGAGGAAACUCUGAUGCAGCCGACGCCGCGUGAGUGAAGAAGUAUUUCGGUAUGUAAAGCUCUAUCAGCAGGGAAGAUAAUGACAGUACCUGACCAAGAAGCCCCGGCUAACUACGUGCCAGCCGCCGC